rnacentral:rRNA from 1 species
GUGGAUUAGAUACCCUGGUAGUCCACGCCCUAAACGAUGAUCACUAGGUGUUGGGGAAGCGAUUUCCUAGUACCGCAGCUAACGCGUGAAGUGAUCCGCCUGGGGAGUACGGUCGCAAGAUUAAAACUCAAAGGAAUUGACGGGGACCCGCACAAGCGGUGGAUGAUGUGGAUUAAUUCGAUGCAACGCGAAAAACCUUACCUACCCUUGACAUGUACGGAAGCCCGGUGAGAGCCGGGUGUGCCCGAAAGGGAGCCGUAACACAGGUGCUGCACGGUUGUCGCCAGCU